rnacentral:ncRNA from 2 species
GUCAACAACCCGCCGUUAAAUCGGGGUACCGAUUUUAACGGGGGCUUGAAAUCAAGCCCAAGUUGACCAGACUG